GAGAAAUUAGUUUAAGAAAAAUAUUGGAUUGUCAGACCAAAGAUGUAAGUUUUACUUAUAUUUCUUA
rnacentral:tRNA from 1 species